UACGAAGGGGGCUAGCGUUGCUCGGAAUCACUGGGCGUAAAGGGUGCGUAGGCGGGUCUUUAAGUCAGGGGUGAAAUCCUGGAGCUCAACUCCAGAACUGCCUUUGAUACUGAAGAUCUUGAGUUCGGGAGAGGUCAGUGGAACUGCGAGUGUAGAGGUGAAAUUCGUAGAUAUUCGCAAGAACACCAGUGGCGAAGGCGGCUCACUGGCCCGAUACUGACGCUGAGGCACGAAAGCGUGGGGAGCAAACAGG
rnacentral:rRNA from 1 species